ACUCCAUGUGUUGGACACUGGCGCAAAAGAGUUUUAAAUCUCUCCCAUGCCUCGUAUAAUUGCUCGCCUUGCUGUUGGACAAAAUUAUGAAUUUCUUGUCGGAUUCU
rnacentral:snoRNA from 1 species